UGGGGAAUAUUGGACAAUGGGCGAAAGCCUGAUCCAGCCAUGCCGCGUGUGUGAAGAAGGUCUUCGGAUUGUAAAGCACUUUAAGUUGGGAGGAAGGGCAGUAAGCGAAUACCUUGCUGUUUUGACGUUACCGACAGAAUAAGCACCGGCUAACUCUGUGCCAGCAGCCGCGGUAAUACAGAGGGUGCAAGCGUUAAUCGGAAUUACUGGGCGUAAAGCGCGCGUAGGUGGUUCGUUAAGUUGAAUGUGAAAGCCCCGGGCUCAACCUGGGAACUGCAUCCAAAACUGGCGAGCUAGAGUAGGGCAGAGGGUGGUGGAAUUUCCUGUGUAGCGGGGAAAUGCGUAGAUAUAGGAAGGAACACCAGUGGCGAAGGCGACCACCUGGGCUCAUACUGACACUGAGGUGCGAAAGCGUGGGGAGCAAACAGG
rnacentral:rRNA from 1 species